CAAAGGCUGAGAAAAAAAAAAAAAAAAGUGACAUUCUACGAAGUAUCCACACUCCUUGCUCAUUGAUUCAUUUAGCCGAACUCCCUCAUAUCCCUCCCACUCACGAGGGCUGAUAUUAUCCCCCAUGGAGACAGAGGACGAAUUAAGGGGACGAUUGGAGGGAGACGCAGAGAACAAACAGGCAGAAACAGAGAUGUCAAAGAAGACAGUAAGCCUGCCGGGACAACGGACGUCAAGCGAGUUCCAAUGUCAAGCCAAGUUUGGGCUUUUUGUCGUCUAUCGAUCGCAAAAAAUCUCUUGAGAUAGAAGUGUCAGGACGUGCUCGCCUCUCUCGGCGUCCGUGCACGUAGCUGCAGGAUAGUACAAGUGCAGUUUGAGGCGAGAGGUGUGUUGGAUGCUUAACAUGCAAAUUUUUCGCAGCGCCCCUGGCUGCUGUCCCGGAGUUUUUUUGUCACCGUGACAGUUUAUGGUUCCCCACUUACUUAUUCUUGUCUUUCUGUGGCACACUCUCUUUCUUGACUCUUUUUUUUUUUCUGACUCCUCCUCUUUCUGUUCCUCCUCUCGCUACAGCAUGUCCCUCCCUUCCUCUUUCUCUACACCCACCCUCCUCCCCUCCGUUUUCUCUCCUUCCCUCUUGGCAGCAGUGCCAAAGUGGGCAGGCAGACCGAGGCAAACACAGCACAGGGCAGAGCAGAGGGCGAUCCAAAGGCUGGCGAAUUGAUCAUGUGCGUGUUUGUGUUUUGAACCUGUCCUGCGUCUGUCUAUUGGCGUGCUUCGACUCCGUUGUGGUCAUACGCAACUGCGAGUAAUGCGAGUCUAAUGGCUGUGUGCGAGGAGACGUCCCUCUGUCACCCCGUGUACGGACAGACGCACUCACGCCAGUAGGAGGGGAUUGUGGGAAGGGGGUGUAGCUCUCAGAGGGUGUGCUCUACUCCUCUCUUUUCCCUUCUUCCCGCCAUCACGGCCCUCUUCUCCUCCAGUCCUCCGGCCCAGCCCGCCGCUCACAUGCACGCUCCAGGAAAGUUACCUUUGUGGAUCUUUGAUGAUGAAACAACGUGGAUGCUGUCCUUGGGGCUGAGGUAGUAGAUUGAAUAGUUGUGGGGUUUUGUAACCUCUUUUUGAGAUAACUAUACAAUCUACUGUCUUUCCCAAGGAGACAGCAGAGUCAGCCACUCCUCGACUGUCGUCUCCAGACGGACAAUCGUGCCGUCCACUCAAAAAAUAUAUCCCUACAUCCUUACAUACAUCUAGCGACGUGUUAUGACUUGUUUUUGCUAUAGUUAGGUCUCAUGUCCCCUGACGGGUCAACUUGUUUCUUGACGGGCUCUGACAGGGUGAGGUAGUAGGUUGUAUAGUUUGGUGGGUGGGACUGCACCCUGCUCAGGUGAUAACUAUACAGUCUAUUGCCUUCCCUGAGGAGCCCACUGGACACUCAUGAAGGUUCAACACCCUCUCGUGGCCCAAGUAUCACAACUGGAGCAGGAAUGUGUGUUUGUCAAAGGGUUAGUGUUUAAUUCGACUGAAGCUGUCACAUGACUAAAAUAUGUACAUCUCAAUAAAAUCACACAUGCCUCAAA